GGUCCUGUAGCUCAGCUUGGACAGAGCGACUGCCUUCUAAGCAGUAGGUCCGGGGUUCAAAUCCUCGCAGGGCCG
rnacentral:tRNA from 1 species